rnacentral:rRNA from 1 species
GAAUAUUGGACAAUGGGGGCAACCCUGAUCCAGCCAUGCCGCGUGUGUGAAGAAGGCCUUAGGGUUGUAAAACACUUUCAGCGGGGAAGAUGAUGACGGUACCCGCAGAAGAAGCCCCGGCUAACUCCGUGCCAGCAGCCGCGGUAAUACGGAGGGGGCUAGCGUUGUUCGGAAUUACUGGGCGUAAAGGGCGUGUAGGCGGCUUGCCAAGUCAGGCGUGAAAGCCCCGGGCUUAACCUGGGAACUGCGUUUGAGACUGGCAGGCUAGAGGUUGGAAGAGGAGAGUGGAAUUCCCAGUGUAGAGGUGAAAUUCGUAGAUAUUGGGAAGAACACCGGUGGCGAAGGCGGCUCUCUGGUCCACACCUGACGCUGAGGCGCGAAAGCGUGGGGAGCAAACAGG